CUGCUCACAAAACCAUUUGCUCUGUGGUUUGGCCAUCUCGAACAGUAUUCUGAUUUAUUUAGGUGGGGGGGAGUGGGGGUAGGAAGAGGGAAAAUGAAUAGGAACAGUGGGAAGAUUCAAAUGCAUUUCCCUGGUGAGCCAGACAGCAAGAUGCCUUUUUAAACAAAGGUAAAAGUGGGUCAUAUCCUCUCAAAGAAAAACUUUAAAUUUCUGCUUUUAACAGUACAUACGGUUCCUCGUCCAAAUAAUAUGUACUACUUUAGUAAAAAAAACUGUGAAAGCUAUCCUUGUUAUUUUGACAGUAAAUUAUGAGCCAGUUUUUUGUCACAAUUAAGUAAACAGAGAGGUUAACCAUUCAAAGAUUUAACUAUUAUUUUGUCAGAGAACUGUAGUUCCUGGAAUCCCAUGUAGGAGAUUAGAAAAUGCAGGUCUGAAGCAAGCGCUCAGUGUUUAAAGACUUAUUAUCCAUUUCUAAAAAUCACAUUGCCUUUUUGGGCAAAGAUAUACUUAGUUGUUAACGCAUCCUAUUGAAUUUCUCUGUGUUUUUUUCAUAUUUUGAAAUCUGACAGAAAAUUAAGAUUGAAACUAAUUAGUGUGAAGGUCAGGAAAUGCAUGCUAGAUGUAUCAGUUUUAUACUUUGCUUACAAACCUUUCCUGCUAUUGCUCAUCAUAAAAAUCUGAUAGUAUUCCAGGCAAUACAUCAGGGCCAAUGAUUUGCCAGUGAUGGAAUGUAAAACAGGCCAUUAUCUGAUGUACCAUGUUAAAAAUAAACAUACACAUUUCCUGUCUUGUUAUCACUCUUGAUACUUUCCAUAUGCUCAACCUUUAUAAUUAUUAAAUACAUUCUAACAGUAAACAGUAAUUGGGAACUAGCACUCAAGAAUGAAAAGCAGCAACUGGAUGUCAGCAGCUAUCCCUUAAACAAAUUGAAUCAAAAACAUAUACAUUAAGAAUCCUUUUGGUCUUCGUUAGGGCUGUCACUUCCUAGUUAGUGUAAAUUAAUAAGAAAAAUAUAAUACUACUUGGAUCUCUCUUUUAGAGCGUAGAAUUGUUGAAUAGUAAUCAUGUUGCAUGGUGUAGCAAUGAUGAUGAUUUUUAGCACGCUACCUUAAGCAUAAAUUAAGCAAGCACAGGUUGUUCUGCAACUAAUCUAGGCAUUAUAACCUAAAAUCUGAAUCUACAGGAGACAUUGAAAAUUGCUGCUCUUAUUAACUGAAGCAAACUAAAACACAAGCCUUGGGGCUAGACUGAUUUGAAGAUUUUAAAUAUAAGGUCAUCAAGUUAUGGAGAGGAAAAUAGCAGGUGACAACUGGGGUUAAUGUUCUCCUUCAUCGAAUAGUCGCGGGGCUGGAAACUGGAAGUAUCCCGAGCUAAUUCUGCUACCAACAUCAUCUAUUGCGACAAGUGGUGGCUUCCACUGAUUGGCGCCGGAAGCUUGCGUCCUUUUCAGGACGGACGAUGACAGCGAGGUCAACAUUUGAAACAAGAUGGACACGAAAAGAAAAAGUUCAAAUAGUGAAGUGAUGGUGCAGACGACAUGCUAAUGAUCCAAAUUAAAUGGAUUACCACCCAAGAAAUAAUGCUAAAAACUGCCAACAAUCAAUGUGAGGGAUGAUGUUAUUGAGUUAAAGACAUACUGUUGUGAAUCUGAUCAUGGACAGUGUACAAAAUACCGAAUCAGCACACUGUUUGGAUUCCAUCUUCUCUCACUUUGAUAUAACCUUAUUCGAUCAUACAAAAUUAAUUACAUUCAAUCAAUAUAGAAAGUGAGCAAUAUAAAAGAUGCUGCCUGACCCACUGAGUUCCUCCAAUGGUUUGUUUUCAGCACCAGAUUACAACAUCUGCCGUCCCUUGUGUCUCCAUUUUACAGACUUCAUGCACCAUGAUGUUUUCCAAUGCUGGAUUGCGGAACAUCAAGCAAAAGUUGCAAUAACCCACAUAGUUGAAAAGUAAACUGGAAGUCAACUUUACUCUGCUGAUAGCUAAGAAAACAUAUGGUUUAUCAAAAUAAAAAUAUUAAGUUCAAAAUCAUAACUCACUGGGUAAACAGACAAACUAUAAUGAGUGAACACAGAUGUCUCUUAUCUUUGAGGGAAAGAGCGUUCACGUCGCGGCCCUGAUUUCACCAAUCUUUCCACCACCACCACGCACAAGAAGGGCACAAGAAUCGCAAGGCAGACACCAUUGUAUGCAGAUGCCGAGAAGUGUGUUCAGCUCUGGCUGAGCAACUUCUAAUGUUGUGUGUGGAUUCGAUAAGAAGAAGACCUCAACUAAUAACUGAUAAAGGUGAUUUAAUUGAGUCUAAAUUACAUACCAUUCAGAAACCUCCGAGUCUAUCAAAACUUAAGCUAUCAGCUAUUAUUUCCAAUAAUUAAAAACAUAGUAUAGUUGAAAUUAAAUAUACUAACAAAUAACCUUUCUACCACACUAAUGAGUUUAAAAUAUACCAUUUUAAAACUCUACACAUUUUCAGUGCAGCAUCAGUUGUAACUGCUUGAGUUGCAGGUUAGACUUAUUCCUUGAAUAGUCUCUCAUUGUUUCCUUUGGAUCUGUUUUACUAGAUCCUGCAAGCAGUCUAUUUAUCAUUUCUCUUUUCAGACUUGCUUUUAUAUCUAAAGCUGCAACAACCACAGAACAAUCACUUUAUAUCACACCUUUAUUACACCUGCUUCUAAAUCCGAAUCUGCUGGUAGCCUGCCAAUGCAGUAUUAUUAAUCAGGAAAAAUUCAUAAACAUUGGCGCACAACAAUUUCUGCUGCCUAAUGAAGUCCCAUAAAUCACAGCUGCAACCCAUCAUUUUUUCUAUAAAGCCAGGUCUUCUUUCUGACAAAAUUGAUAUUUUGCCUCAACACCAAUUCUACAAAUAACUUGAGCACUAAUAUCCCUGCAUCCGUUUUCCAAAAUAAAAUAAGCAAUUAUGGAUAUUGCUGUCUGACUUCUGCCUUCCUAUUCCAAACCUGCAACAUAAAAAGUGCUUUUUCUUUGAAACAAUUGCCAUUAAUCAAAGCAGUGAGAGCUACUUCUAGUCAGGCCAAACCCACCACCAUGCUUGGUAAUACAUCAAAGUGUCUUUUGUCAAAUAUGCUAAACAAACCUAAACAGACUGUCUUCACCAACCUGAUAUGAUUCUCACAAGAUGUUACAAAUAAAAAAGUGCUUUGUAAGUGGAAUGUGUUUCUUUAUAAUUAAUAAAGAAUAAAUGAAAGUGUCAUAAAAGUGAAAUGCUUUGUUUUAUUUUAUUGACAGAGCUAUAUUUAGACAUACAGGUUCUUCAUUUGUGGUUAUUUUAUUUCAUAUCAAUCAAGCUGAAGUUUAUAAACUUUCAAAGAGGUAUUAAUAUGUAGCUGUAAUGUAAAUCAAGCUUAAUUUAAGUUGUUGUGCAGUCUUGGCUUUUGCAGAACAUAUUAACUUGGAUGAAAGAAACGUUGCAAGCUUCACAUUUUGCUUACCUUUGCCAAGUUGCAACCAGAAAAUAUUUACCAAUUUGGGCAGCUUUGCUGCUGGGAUUCUAUAUAGAACCUAAAAUACUUAUACAUAGUGUUUUGAAAUGCAGUUUGUAUUAGCCAAUAUAAAAAGAGAUUAUUGGAGCUUUGACAAAAUGAGAGGAACAGCUAAGGAGAAUUCACAAAAAAUAAGAUCCUUAUGGCAUCAAAUCAGGAUAUUUGUGUAGACUCUCCAACAUCUGCUGCUUAAUACCAGCUGCUGUAGCUGAUUAGAAUUACCACAAAUUUGUUGUUAUAAAAAUGCUUGGGCAACAUCACUGUAUUAAUGGUUUAUUGAGUAAAUGAUGAAAACCUUGAGCCAGCUGAUGCAUUUUACUGCAGAUAAGGUUUUCUUUGAAUAAUCAGAGCAAUUCUCACAAAUGAAGGCGCGAGAGAAAUAAAAAAAACAUUGAUAAUUACUUUGCUUGAACUCAGAUGCAAAUCCAAGUUAUUGGCCAAUCCAAGUUUCUGCUAUCAACCUACUAUAUCUAAUAUCUUAAGAUUUAACACAAUACCAGAGGGAAAAUAGUUGCCUUUAUUUAAAAUAUUUAACAAUCUAUAUUGUGCGUUAAAAAAAAUUAGGGUUGGAUUUACACCGCCAAGCAGCAUGUCUUUUAUAGAAAGUGUCUGUUCAUUAAUUAAUGAGUCAUGGUGUCAUACAGCACAGAAACGGAGACCUUCGGCCAAAUUUGUCCAACUGAGAUACCCCAUCUACGCUAGUCCUACAUACCCAUGUUUGGCCCAUGUCCCUCUAAACCUUUCGGACUAUGUACAAAUGACUUCUAAAUGUUGUUAUAGCACCUGCCUCAAAUAUUCCUUUGGCAACUUGUUCCAUAUACUCAUCCCCCUCAUUGCGAAAGAAUUAGCUCUCGGGUUUCUAUUAAAUCUUUCUCCUCUCAGCUUCUCUCCUCUGGUUCAUGAUCCCCCUACUCUGGGUAUAAGACCCUGCAUUCACCCUAUCUAUUCACCUCAUGAUUUUAUACACUUCUAUAAAAUCAUCCCUCAUCUCCUGCACUCCAAGGAAUAAAGUCCCAGCCUGCUCAACCUCUCUGCAUAGCUUACACCCUCAAGUCCUGGCAACAUCCUCAAAAAUCUUCUCUGCAAUCUUUCCAGCUGAAUGACAUCCUUCCCAUAGCAGGGUGACAAAAACUGAAUACAAUACUCCAAAUGCAGCCUCGCCAAUGUGUUAUACAAUUAAUUUAAUUGGAAUGAAAUUAAGAUCAGGCAUGUAUUUUAAAGUGUAAAUCCUGCAUUUAAACAUAUAUGAAAAAAUAUUUAAAAUCUAUUCAGAAUCUCAGCAGUUCAUUUAAUCUGAAACGUAGAAUACAAAAAAAUGGCCACUGCCAUUUUAUUAUUUUCACCGAAAUGUUAAACAUUUUUAUUUAAGAACAGCAACCAAUGGAUGAAGCAUGCUAAAUUACGUCGAACGGGUUGUUUGGAUGUAUGACCUCACAAAUGCCUAUCAUUCACCAGUAAUUUUCAAGAAUAUUGUUUUGCUUCAACUACGUCUGUGGCUGGAAAUGUGUAAUUUCCAUUCAGUAAAGUGUAACAGGAGCCAUCGCUGCAAGAUAUCAGAAUUUAAAAAAAUUCAAUGUACAAUAGCUCUAUAUUAGAGCUUCAUGACACUGGUAACAGCAGCAUGUAUAUUUGUAUUUGAAGGCUUAUGUCUCUAAGAAAGCAGUUGUUCCUAUUGAAAUUAAACAGAAAGAAUGUGUUUAUAUUUGGAUAAUUCUAGAGCUGAGAGAAUAGAAAUGUCAUAAAUGAAAAUCAGAUCAGAGACCUGAAAAAUCAAGAUCAAGACCUGCAACAUUACUAUUGUGUCUCCUUCCAUAAAUGCUGCCUGACCUGCUGAGUAUUUCCAGCAUUUUCUGUUUACAGGUUGGAAAUACUAUUGCCUAAAUACCAGUGCAGCCUAAAAGCCGCAGCAUGUUUGGAAAUGGGGUUGGGCAAGUGUGAUACUGGGCUCCAAAUGGACCUUUACUGAAGCUGCAACUUGACCUUUACUUAUGAAGUCAGGAUAGGGUGGCACAGUGGCGCAGCUGUAGAGUUGCUGCCUUACAGUGCUAGAGAUCUGGGUUCGAUCUUGACUACCGGUACUGUCUGUAUGGAGUGUGCACGUUCUCCCUGUGACCACGUGAAUUUUCAUCAGGUGCUCCGGUUUCUCUUUUACACUCCAAAGAUGUACAGAUUUGUAGGUUAAUUGGCUUUGGUAAAAUUUGUAAAAUUGUUCCUAGUUUGUAGGAUAUUGUUGGUGCUGGUUGGCAGGGACUCAAUGGGCUGAAGGGCCUGCUUUUCUAAAGUACUAAAAUAAAGAUAACAGAGGGAUGAAGUAGCAAUUGUUGGUUUGUUGAUGAUUGAAGCAGUGGUGUAGGAGUGGCGAUAUGGCUUUGACAAUGAUCUUUGACAAUGUUCUUUGACAAUGUUCCAAAUGUUGAGCAGCAGGGGAAAUUAUGACUGUGCUCACUGCCACCAAGACCAUUCAGGUUUGAAUAGCCUAGUUUAGAGGACUGAGUGAAAUGCAACCAGAGGUUUGCUGCUACACUUGUGGACUGAACAGACAGGCACAGCAAACGUGCAUUUGGUUUUCCUAAUCGAGAGGGGACUGCAAUGAUUGCAGCAAACAGACUACUGUAAAUGAACUUACCUGUAAAUGCUGGAAUGAAUACUAGGAGUUAGAAGGUAAGGAGGCAGGUGCUUGGAAGGUGCUACUGGAGUGAAAGGGUGUGAUGUGAUUAGGAGGGGAGCAGGAAAUCAUAGAGGUCAUGGCCCUUUCACAGUGCUAAAGAAGUUUCAAAAAUGUUAAAUAUGGAGAUUUCUGAGAAGUGUAGGUGUGGGUUGAAAUACAGAUUUGCUGAAUUUAUGGAGGCAAAGGAAGGGAAGUAGCCUGGUUAACCAAUUAACCUCCAGUCUGAGCAGCAUCCAUCAAUCUUACUGUUUGGUAUCAAUCUAUUAACUAACUUAGUCAGUAUGCUACUGUUUAAUCCUGCAUAGAAACAUAGAAAAUAGGUGCAGGAGUAGGCCAUUCGGCCCUUCGAGCCUGCACCACCAUUCAAUAUGAUCAUGACUGAUCAUCCAACUCAGUAUCCCGUUCCUGCCUUCUCUCCAUACCCCCUGAUCCCUUUAGCCACAAGGGCCAAAUCUAACUCCCUCUUAAAUAUAGCCAAUGAACUGGCCUCAACUACCUUCUGCGGCAGAGAAUUACAGAGAUUCACCGCUCUCUGUGUGAAAACCAUGGUCGACCAUGGUUUUUUUUUGAACAUGCAUACUGUAAACAUGUACUUUAGUGAACUUCCUCAAAUAAUCUAUAUUCAUAUCUAAUAUAUCCCUCUAAUCCUCUGUAAAAAAAAAAUCAGAUUUAUCCAACAUAACCUCUUAAACACAUCUGUGCCAGCUGCUGUUGAUUAACUGAUAUAUUUCAUGGGGAUGAAAGUAAGACUCUCAUACAGCAAAAUAGAAUAAAAACACCAUGCUUUUAUUAUUUAUUGCAGAGGAAAACAAUUAAAGAGCCACAUUACUGGCUGAUAAAUUAGUGCCCAUAUGUCAUAACAAAAAGAACAGACGUAACUAAAUAUUUCAUAUGCCAGGCAUGCGUUGGGAGUACAUAUCAAUUGUGGAUAACUUUUAAAUUUGUAGGCAUCCCCAUGGAAAUUCUAGCGUUUGAAAGCAAAUCCCUGAUUACAGGAAGAAUGAUUGUACCACAAUGGAAGUUGAAUCCUUGUCAAAAAAGCAGUGCAUCUUCAAAAGAGUUAAUCGUUAUGGAUGACCUGACACGGAAAUCUAUCUUUCUGCAAAUUCUCCCAAAGUUUUUCCAAGCAUUUUCAAGACAGUAAUAAUAAUAAUAAAGUGCUUUGUGGUAAUCAUUAAAGAAUGGUUACAUUAUAUAUGGCUU